UUUAUAUGAGGUGAAUCUCUAGUGUCUGGGUUCUUUUCCUGAAAGCUGUGUUUAUGGAAUUCAUCCAUAUCAUUGUAUGUGGUUAUAGAUUCUCAUUGCUGUGUAGUAGUUCAAUGGCAUGAAUAUACACUAAUCAUUUAUCCGUUCCACUGUUGAUGUGCAAUUGGAGAAUUUCCAAUUUAGAGCUAUUAUGAAUAAUGCUGCUAGAGCCAUUCUAAUGCAUAUCUUCCAGUGAACACAUAUACGCAGUUCUCUUGGGAAUAUUCCUAAGUGUGGAAUUGCUGGGUCGUAGAUGUACAUUUUUAAAAAUCAUAAUAUUAGAGUCGAGUAUGCAGAAUUGACUGAAUUCUAAAACCAAAAGCUAAUUUUUUGAAGUGUGAAUUUCUGUUUGGGGAAAGUGAAUAAUGUGAAGAAACAUAACAUUUUUAUUUAUGGAAAUAAAUUUCAUGUCCUCUGAGCU
rnacentral:lncRNA from 10 species